rnacentral:rRNA from 1 species
AUGAGUUGCCUCUCAUGGAACUGCCGGGGGCUUGGGAACCCCGAGGCGGUUCGAGAGCUUCGCAAUGUUGUGAAGCUAGAAGGACCCACACUCCUCUUCGUCAUGGAAACAAAAAUCAAAGGGAAGAGGGUUGAGGACUUGCAAAGACAUCUAGGCUUCGGCGGGUGCUUUGCGGUUGAUAGUACUGGUCUAAGUGGUGGUAUUGGUUUGUUUUGGUCGCUGAUGUUAUUGUGGACCUCAACAAUUAUAGUGCUAGUCACAUUGAUGUUUCUGUUAAAUUUAAAGAGCAAAACUCCUUUCAAUGGAGGUUUACUGGUUUCUAUGGGGCGUCCCGAGCGGAAGAUAGACACCAUAAUUGGCGUUUCCUACGCACUCUUUAUAACAUACCGCAUGCGGCAUGGAUAUGUUUGGGUGAUUUUAAUGAAACUCUCUUCUCUAAUGAGCACUUUAGUCGGGCUGCUAGGCCAGAGAGACAGAUGA